rnacentral:lncRNA from 1 species
UAAUCCAAACCUCAGAAACAACAGAUUCAAAACAAAAUUAAAAAUCCCAAAAUUCAAACAAACCAAAACCCUAGAUUAUAUUUGUCUAACCAAGCGACAACAAUCAACAUAUUCAAAUAAUAGUAAGUGUAGGAAGAGAAGAUGUCAACCUCUAGAGACGAGAUUCUCUCUGGUUCAUAGGUAAACAAACUCAAUUGAAACUUCUUCCUUCCCUUCUGCUUUUCCUCUAAUUCUCUCUUUCUUCUCUAACUCCUU